rnacentral:rRNA from 1 species
AUUGAACGCUGGCGGCAUGCCUAACACAUGCAAGUCGAACGAGUGGCGGACGGGUGAGUAAUAUAUGGGAACCUGCCCCAUAGCGGGGGAUAACUACUCGAAACAGUGGCUAAUACCGCAUACUAUCGGAGUGGCCGAGAUCGGAUUCGCUAGUUGGUGGGGUAAAGGCUCACCAAGGCAACGAUCCGUAGCUGGUCUGAGAGGAUGACCAGCCACACGGGAACGGAGACACGGCCCAGACUCCUACGGGAGGCAGCAGUGGGGAAUAUUGGACAAUGGGCGAAAGCCUGAUCCAGCCAUGCCGCGUGUAUGAUGAAGGCCUUCGGGUUGUAAAGUACUUUAAGCUGGGAAGCGGUAUCAGCAGAAUAAGCACCGGCUAACUCCGUGCCAGCAGCCGCGGUAAUUC